ACCCGCCAUGCCGCGUGCAGGAUGAAGGUUCUAUGAAUUGUAAACUGCUUAACUAUAGGAAGAAACGUAUCUACGUGUAGGUAAUUGCCCGUACUAUAGGAAUAAGCAUCGGCUAACUCCGUGCCAGCAGCCGCGGUAAUACGGAGGAUGCGGGCGUUAAUCCGGAUUUAUUGGGUUUAAAGGGUGCGUAGGCGGAAUAAUAAGUCAGUGGUGAAAUCCUGUGGCUCAACCAUAGAACUGCCAUUGAUACUGUUAUUCUUGAAUUUAGUUGAGGUAGGCGGAAUGUGUAAUGUAGCGGUGAAAUGCUUAGAUAUUACACAGAACACCGAUUGCGAAGGCAGCUUACUAAACUACGAUUGACGCUGAUGCACGAAAGCGUGGGGAGCGAAUAGGAUUAGAUACCCUGGUAGUCCACGCUGUAAACGAUGAUCACUCGUUGUUUGCGAUAUAUUGUAAGCGACUGAGCGAAAGCAUUAAGUGAUCC
rnacentral:rRNA from 1 species